CAUCUAUGAAGGACACAGGGCUGUGAAGGACGAACAGAGACAACCCCCGCAGGAGCCCUUACUGCUGACACGUGGCCAUGACAGACACAGAUACCAGAGCCUAGGGCUAGAAAGGACCAGAAGGUCUUAGGGAGGCCCACAGACCUGAAGCUUCGGGGUUCACUGGCCCCUCUGAUAAGUGAUCUCAUGCACGGUCUACACCACCUGCUCCUGCUCGUCACUGACAAAACUAAAUCUCAAGAUGCAGGGAGCAUAUUUGCCUGGAAAGCUGAGACACCAUUAAAGACAGUCUGGGACUUUAGGUGCAGGAAGCGUGCUGAAAAGGGACUGCUAGAGGACCACACAGAAGAGAACAUGGCAGAACUGUGGACUUCUCCAUCAGAAUAAGAGCUAAUCAUCAGAACUCACACUGUAUAGCUUUAACCAAUCCAAACCUAUACAGUCAAACUUAACAAGUUAAUUCACCACUUGCUGAAAACAAAUCUGUCAAUAAACACAAGUAAUUAAUGCUA